rnacentral:miRNA from 1 species
GAUUGUUAGCAUCCAUGUAAAAGAGCCUGACACAGAGGCAUGUGGCUGUACUGCCAGAGCUGAGGAGGCAGAGGCAGGAGGAU